UGUUUCUUAACCUAUUCAUAAAAUCUGCAGCAGUCCUAUAAAAUAUAUUUGUAUGCAAUUGUCAAUUGAAGGAAUUCAGUGAAAAAAAGUUAAUUUUUGUAUGGUUGGUUGCUCUGUAUAUUUUUCAGGGUAAGAUAGGUUCUCUGAUUAAGUAUCCUUAAACCUUAGUGAUGCAAAACAAUAGAAGUUUAUUUCCUGUUCAUUUUGGCCAGAACUCAGGCACAUGGCCACAUCUAACAGCAGGAAGGCUCGGAAAUAGAGUUAGCUAUGUGAUGACUGUGGAUCAAAGGAAAGGGCCACAUCAUGUUUGCCAGGUUCAGACAGUUUUUCUCCUAGUGCCGUGUCCAGGCCAUCUGUCAUCAGAAUGCUAAGCUGAUUAAAAAUGCGGAUCCUGAAGCCUCACCCCAGACUUGCAAAUCCAAAAGCCUAAGGAGCAUUCAUUUUAUCAAGCUUGCAAGGUGAUACUUCUGCAUUUUCAAGUUUGAAAACUGUUGGAUUCCAAAUGAGCCAUGUUGGGGCUCAGAGCUGAUACCCCAAGGUGCUGAGCACUCUGGGCUGAAGGACACUGAAAGGUCUCAGAAGCGAGGUCUCUCUGACCUCCCACCCUCUGGUCUCCUGUACCUCCAGCCCAAAGAGCAAGGCUUAGAAACUCUUCUUGGUACACGUCUUUCCCAGGAAGACUUCCUUUUACAAAAGGGCAGCUUUGCCAAGCUGCUCCUGUGUCUGCAGUUUCUCAAAAUAACCAGCUGGAGACAGUCACUAUACCGAGGAGGUUGAUUUUAGGGUGGAAUACUCUCUCUCCUCGGUCACAUUUUGGGGUGGUAGGUUUUGCCCUACCAUAGACAUUUUUUUUUUGCUAAUCCCCUUAAAUCUCAUAAUAGACGCACAAGUAGACACCAUGCAUCCUCUUCACAGAGGAGUUUUGUCUUGAAGAGGUCCUGACUUGCCGGGGGUCCGAGGCUCCCAUGUGGCAGGAGGAGGACUGAGUUCAGGAGGCCUGACGGGGAUCCCAGGGCUGUGCCAGAAUGGAGUCAGAUUCACGUGGUUAGACUCCAUCCUCGAC
rnacentral:lncRNA from 1 species